ACACUCGUUAUUUGUAUGGUAGCUAAACUUUUCGGAUGUAAUCAAUAUCGUUCGAGCCGGGUAAGAUCCUAGUUAUUAUCGAACUAAAACACAUGUUCCUCGGCUGUGCGGGCCCCCGUCAAUUCCUCUGAGUUUCACCGUGCUGGCAUACUUCCCAGGUGGAAUAUUUAACGCUUCGCUAGACCACUUGGUGUAUAUGGCAAACAGUUAGUAUUCAUCGUGUACUGUGUGGACUACCAGGGUAUCUAAUCCUGUUGAUACGCAAAUUUUCGUGCGUUAGGGUCAGGAUACAGUAUGGUAAGCAGUGUACAGUCAUAGGAGUUAUUCGUAAUAUACUAUGCAUGGGAGGAUACACUACCGAAUUGCGUCGACGCUAAUCGCAUUUAAGUGAACUACCAGGGGAGUACGGCAGCAAGGUUGAAACUCAAAGGAAUUGACGGGGGCCCGCACAAGCGGUGGAGUAUGUGGUUUAAUUCAACGCAACGCGAAAAACCUUACCUGGGCUUGAACUGCUAAUAGUAAAAGCCGGAAACGGUGAUGACCCGCAAGGGAGUUAGCAGAGGUGCUGCAUGGCUGUCGUCAGCUCGUGUCGUGAGAUGUUGGGUUAAGUCCCGCAACGAGCGCAACCCUUAUCCCAUGUUACCUGUAGCAAUACAGGGUCUCUGAGGAAACUGCCAUUGAUAAAAUGGAGGAAGGUGGGGACGACGUCAAGUCAUCAUGGCCUUUAUGUCCAGGGCUACACACGUACUACAAUGGUCGGUACAGAGGGCAGCGAUAUCGCAAGAUGGAGCAAAUCCUUAAAGCCGGCCCCAGUUCAGAUUGUGGGCUGCAAUUCGCCCACAUGAAGUAGGAAUCGCUAGUAAUCGCAGAUCAGCAGGCUGCGGUGAAUACGUUCCCGGGCCUUGUACACACCGCCCGUCACACCACGAAAGUCAGUCAUAACAGAAGUCGUUGAGCUAACCGCAAGGAGGCAGGCGCCU
rnacentral:rRNA from 1 species